CCUCCGAUAGCUCAACGGAUAGAGCGCUGGGUAGAUAGCCCAGAGAUGCUGGUUCGAGUCCAGCUCGGAGGU
rnacentral:tRNA from 1 species